rnacentral:rRNA from 1 species
GACAGAGGGUGCAAACGUUGCUCGGAAUCACUGGGCGUAAAGGGCGUGUAGGCGGGAAGGAAAGUCAGAUGUGAAAUCCCCAGGCUCAACCUGGGAACUGCAUUUGAAACUCCCUUUCUUGAGUACCGGAGAGGAAAGUGGAAUUCCUGGUGUAGAGGUGAAAUUCGUAGAUAUCAGGAGGAACACCAGUGGCGAAGGCGGCUUUCUGGACGGUAACUGACGCUGAGGCGCGAAAGCGUGGGGAGCAAACAGG